GCAAGAUUGAAACUCAAAGGAAUUGACGGGGGCCCGCACAAGCGGAGGAACAUGUGGUUUAAUUCGAUGAUACGCGAGGAACCUUACCUGGGCUUAAAUGCAGAACGAUUUCCGCCGAAAGGUGGAUUCCUUCGGGCGUUUUGCAAGGUGCUGCAUGGUUGUCGUCAGCUCGUGCCGUGAGGUGUCGGGUUAAGUCCCAUAACGAGCGCAACCCUCAUCGUUAGUUGCCAGCGGGUAAUGCCGGGGACUCUAACGAAACUGCCGGUGUAAACCGUGAGGAAGGUGGGGAUGACGUCAAAUCAGCACGGCCCUUAUGUCCAGGGCUACACACGUGUUACAAUGGCCAGUACAAAGGGCAGCUACCUGGUGACAGGAUGCUAAUCUCUAAAACUGGUCUCAGUUCGGAUCGGAGUCUGCAACUCGACUUCGUGAAGAUGGAUUCGCUAGUAAUCGCGCAUCAGCAACGGCGUGGUGAAUACGUUCCCGGGCCUUGUACACACCGCCCGUCAAGCCAUGGAAGCUGGGGGUGCCUGAAGUCCGUAACCGCAAGGAGCGGCCUAGGGUAAAACUAGUGACUGGGGCUAAGUCGAAGCAACAUA
rnacentral:rRNA from 1 species